rnacentral:rRNA from 1 species
AAUUGACGGGGCCCGCACAAGCGGCGGAGCAUGCGGAUUAAUUCGAUGCAACGCGAAGAACCUUACCAAGGCUUGACAUACACUGGUAACGCCCAGAGAUGGGUGCCCCUUUGUGGUCGGUGUACAGGUGGUGCAUGGUUGUCGUCAGCUCGUGUCGUGAGAUGUUGGGUUAAGUCCCGCAACGAGCGCAACCCUCGUCCUAUGUUGCCAGCGGGUCAUGCCGGGGACUCAUGGGAGACUGCCGGGGUCAACUCGGAGGAAGGUGGGGAUGACGUCAAAUCAUCAUGCCCCUUAUGUCUUGGGCUUCACGCAUGCUACAAUGGCCGGUACAAAGGGCUGCGAUACCGCGAGGUGGAGCGAAUCCCAGAAAGCCGGUCUCAGUUCGGAUUGAAGUCUGCAACUCGACUUCAUGAAGGCGGAAUCGCUAGUAACCGCGAAUCAGCAGGUCGCGGUGAAUACGUUCCCGGGCCUU